AUUGGACUAUUUCUCCGGUGCGAUUUUGUCAGGCUGUUCCAGUUUUGGGUGGCUGUUAAAACAAGUAAUAAAGGGAAGCCGGAUUAUGUAUGCCGGUAUAUACAUUCCGAUGAUGGAGAUUUGGUAAAAUACAACCUUUUGAGGUCUAAUCUGGAUGAGGAGCGAUGGGUAUCUAUCAAGGACACUAAUCAAUAAUUUGAAUCGAUUCAACUCUGGCAUGUAUCAUUUUUAGUUGUUUAUGUUGAGUAGGUUUCAAUAAAUAACUUUUUAAAUUUGAGCAUGAACUCAAGUACUUCAAAAAUACUUUGGCUCUGUUUUCUUGGUUAAAUUGUACUUUACUGACGUUAUAGUCUAUCAAAAUCCAUUAUUAUUUUCCUUAUGUU